AUACAGUAUAUAUAUAAAAAAUAUUAUAAAUAUUAUAUAUAUUUAUACAAAAAUCAGUAAUACAAGAUGUGAUACAAUUCGAAACAUUCCGGUCGGUAAUAUUUACGAUUGGCCCGAUCAGCGUAUUACACAAGUCGAAUCGAAUGGCUCGAAGGCUGCGCGAGCAUGUUUAUGUUUUCGGCCUAAAAAAUUCUCGAACGUUAAAUCGUAGGUUAAGGAGUUAAAUGUAGAAGCUACCGUUAUUAGAAUAUAUAUCGCCGGGCCGAGAAUUAGAAUUUCGCGAAUCUCAAGUUCAAGCAAUCCCUCGUAUAACAUGUACGAGAAACUUUAACGCGACAUAUUAAUUUUGACAUAAUUACUGUGAUUAACAUAACCGCGCGGUGUCGUUGCAAUGGUAAUGGAAAUCGGUAUCGUUAAAACAGAAGAAAAUAGAAUAUGAUUAUUGUUGUAUCACUCACCCUGUCAUUUGUGGACCAUUUCGCCGUCAGCGUCUGCGGAGGCCCAUGUUUUUUCAUAUGAGCCAAUGUCGUAAGCGGCUUGUACCGAUUUUGGUGCAGGCAGUCACUGAAGUAUUGGUCCGCCAUACCGGAUGCAGAGUUUUCCAGUGCCUCGUUAAAACUGAUACCCUUCUGGCACUGCGUUUCGCACAGCAGAAAUCUUGCGUGCCGAGUGUACAAUGAGUACCAGAGGUGUACUUCGGCGGGUGGUUUCCAGAUCGGUUCGUCCUGCUCGCCGUAUUCUACGAGGGCCUCACUCUUAUCCCGGCACUCAGGUAUUCGAAAAUGCACGUGGUCCACCCUCACCCCCUCCACGUAUCCUAUAUUUUUGCCAAUAGCAAAGGAUCUUUAUGGAAGGAGGUAGGCGUCCUCUUUAUCUUUGCCUGCAAUAAAGGAUCAUUAUGGAGGGGGGCACACGAAUUUCGAUUUUCCGAAGCCGCCGCUCCUGCUGGCGCAGGUAAAUUUCUAUUAAUUACCCCGGGCCGGCUGUAAUGGAAUGCGACGCUAAUCGUACCAUCGGGGAAAACACGCAGAAACGCGUCCGUCGCAUACUGCAGAUUGAUGGGCGAGUUUUCUUUUUUCUUUAAACAAUUGUUUUAAACAAUUUGUUAAUACAUGCACACGGUUAUUGAAACAUAUAGGUAAGCUUUGGAAAAAAAGAGCGAUCGGAAUAGAAGAAAACAGA